rnacentral:rRNA from 1 species
CUACGGGGGGCUCCAGUGGGGAAUAUUGGACAAUGGGGGGAACCCUGAUCCAGCCAUGCCGCGUGUGUGAAGAAGGCCUUUUGGUUGUAAAGCACUUUAAGCAGUGAAGAAGACUCUUCGGUUAAUACCCGGGGACGAUGACAUUAGCUGCAGAAUAAGCACCGGCUAACUCUGUGCCAGCAGCCGCGGUAAUACAGAGGGUGCAAGCGUUAAUCGGAAUUACUGGGCGUAAAGCGAGCGUAGGUGGCUUGAUAAGUCAGAUGUGAAAUCCCCGGGCUUAACCUGGGAACUGCAUCUGAAACUGUUAGGCUAGAGUAGGUGAGAGGGAAGUAGAAUUUCAGGUGUAGCGGUGAAAUGCGUAGAGAUCUGAAGGAAUACCGAUGGCGAAGGCAGCUUCCUGGCAUCAUACUGACACUGAGGCUCGAAAGCGUGGGUAGCAAACAGGAUUAGAUACCCCAGUAGUC